UUCAUUUACUCAAAUGACAUGCACAUAUGGGAGCACACUUAUUACAACCACUGUUAAGAGAUUAGAGAGUUGUAUAAAUCGCAUUUUAAAUGAAAUAUUUACUCGUAGGCUGACAGAACGCCGUCUGACAGGAGUAACGACGCUUUUUUGAGGUGCUUCUUUACUGGAACAAAGUUCCUCUGACAGGAAAUUUAUUUUAUCAGGUAUUUAUACAGCGGCGGGAUCAUCACAAAGAUAGGAAAGUUUCCUCUGACUAAACAAUUCAUUCAGCACUAGUGGCUGUUAAGAGCAGAGUGACCAUGGCAACCGGAAUAUGCACUGAAGACUGAAAACAGCAAAAUAAGGACAAAAGACCAACAACGUCAGAUUAAGUAACACUCAUUUCAAAGUGUUUUUGUUAAUAUUUAUCUGUAAAUUAUUUUGUAGCAUGCUUAAAUCAUAUGUUAUGUACACUGUCUUUAUGCUGUUUCAUAACUAUUAUAUAGCUAUUAUGUAUUUAAAUAGCUGUUAUACAAAUUACUGUUAAUUGAUAUAAACCUGUUCCACGUUUCUUGAAGCUAUUAUUCUUUUAUUAUUUUGACAGUUGUUGAAGCAAAAUAAUAACAUGUUAUUGUGUACUGUUGUACAA